UACGUAGGGUGCAAGCGUUGUCCGGAAUUAUUGGGUGUAAAGAGCUCGUAGGCGGUCUGUCGCGUCGGCUGUGAAAACCCGGAGCUCAACUCCGGGCCUGCAGUCGAUACGGGCAAACUGGAGUGUUGCAGGGGAGACUGGAAUUCCUGGUGUAGCGGUGAAAUGCGCAGAUAUCAGGAGGAACACCGGUGGCGAAGGCGGGUCUCUGGGCAACAACUGACGCUGAGGAGCGAAAGCGUGGGGAGCGAACAGG
rnacentral:rRNA from 1 species